AUGAUUCAGAGGAUGCAGUGGAUAGGGCAUUGUAUAAGACGUAUCAUGAUCUAAAUGGUAAAAUGAUCGAGGUGAAGCGCGCUGUUCCUAAAGAGCUGUCUCCGGGGCCCAACAGGAGCCCUUUCAAUGGAUUCAACUAUGGACUUGGUAGAGUAAAUAACUUUCUCAACAACUAUGCUCAAGGGUAUAGUUUAGGUUCGAUUGGAGGAUAUGGGGUCAGGAUGG
rnacentral:misc_RNA from 1 species